AGUGCCUUGGAAAAUGUCUUUAUAACUGGCUGUGUGAAAAUUAAGAAAAGCUGUCCAUAUUCUGAGUAGGAAGCAGCAUAUGUCAGCCUUCUGUCAGAAAACAUCAUAGAGAUGAAGAAAUGAGAAAUCCAGAAACCAAAGACCUGGUUCUUCUGUCAGACAGACUUGGUAGAGCAGAGUUGCAAAAUCAGACCUUUGGGGCUCGCGUGUUGCUCCUCUAACUCCCUAGUGUAGAAGCCCUGCCUUGAACUUCAGGCUUCCUGGCUUGGACUCUGAUGCUGCUUUGCUGACACAAUCCAAAUCUCCCAGGGAACACCCAGAGUUCCAUUCCAGCCCUGGCAACCCUGCAGCAGAGGCCAACUGUACAGGAAGUCUACAUUGGCUCGGAACAAUUGAGGCUGGGAGAGGGUAUCGCAACAGUUUCCUGCAUCCACUCCAGCUGGUGAAUUCCUGCUUGGUCAUCUUUUAAAACUGAGCUGUCAGAAUCCGAGAGUUGCUUCUUCAGCAGGGCCUCCCCUGACUCCUUCAGGUGUCUAAGUACCACCUGCACUCUUCUGCUGGAGCAUCUAAGAGCAUCUCAUUUGUUUUUAUCACUCAUAUCCCUGAAAUUAUUUGCUUACUCAUCCAUCUAUGUCAGUUGCAAAAGCAUGAGUUCCUCUAGUCCAAAGGCCAUUCAUUUUCAAUAUGUUAGUGCUUCGGAGGGUCUCCAAUGGUUGCUUGAAACAAGUCAAAUGAGUUCAAUUGAAUUUUACAUGGUCUGUCUUCUGACUGUUAUUCGCCUCGUCCCAAACAAAAUGUCAUAAUAAAUGACUAAC